AAAUUGAAGAGUUUGAUCAUGGCUCAGAUUGAACGCUGGCGGCAGGCCUAACACAUGCAAGUCGAACGGUAACAGAAAGCAGCUUGCUGCUUUGCUGACGAGUGGCGGACGGGUGAGUAAUGUCUGGGAAACUGCCUGAUGGAGGGGGAUAACUACUGGAAACGGUAGCUAAUACCGCAUAACGUCGCAAGACCAAAGAGGGGGACCUUCGGGCCUCUUGCCAUCGGAUGUGCCCAGAUGGGAUUAGCUAGUAGGUGGGGUAACGGCUCACCUAGGCGACGAUCCCUAGCUGGUCUGAGAGGAUGACCAGCCACACUGGAACUGAGACACGGUCCAGACUCCUACGGGAGGCAGCAGUGGGGAAUAUUGCACAAUGGGCGCAAGCCUGAUGCAGCCAUGCCGCGUGUAUGAAGAAGGCCUUCGGGUUGUAAAGUACUUUCAGCGGGGAGGAAGGGAGUAAAGUUAAUACCUUU
rnacentral:rRNA from 1 species